rnacentral:rRNA from 1 species
GAUGAACGCUGGCGGCGUGCCUAAUACAUGCAAGUCGAGCGAAUGGAUUAAGAGCUUGCUCUUAUGAAGUUAGCGGCGGACGGGUGAGUAACACGUGGGUAACCUGCCCAUAAGACUGGGAUAACUCCGGGAAACCGGGGCUAACACCGGAUAACACUUUGAACCGCAUGGUUCGAAAUUGAAAGGCGGCUUCGGCUGUCACUUAUGGAUGGACCCGCGUCGCAUUAGCUAGUUGGUGAGGUAACGGCUCACCAAGGCAACGAUGCGUAGCCGACCUGGGAGGGGGAUCGGCCACACUGGGACUGAGACACGGCCCAGACUCCUACAGGAGGCAGCAGUAGGGAAUCUUCCACAAUGGACGAAAGUCUGAUGGAGCAACGCCGCGUGAGCGAUGAAGGCCUUCGGGUCGUAAAGCUCUGUUGUUAGGGAAGAACAAGUACCGGAGUAACUGCCGGUACCUUGACGGUACCUGACCAGAAAGCCACGGCUAACUACGUGCCAGCAGCCGCGGUAA